AACGGUGGAGGCGUGCCUCAUUACAUGCAAGUCGAGCGAAUGGAUUGAGAGCUUGCUCUCAAGAAGUUAGCGGCGGACGGGUGAGUAACACGUGGGUAACCUGCCCAUAAGACUGGGAUAACUCCGGGAAACCGGGGCUAAUACCGGAUAACAUUUUGAACUGCAUGGUUCGAAAUUGAAAGGCGGCUUCGGCUGUCACUUAUGGAUGGACCCGCGUCGCAUUAGCUAGUUGGUGAGGUAACGGCUCACCAAGGCAACGAUGCGUAGCCGACCUGAGAGGGUGAUCGGCCACACUUGGGACUGAGACACGGCCCAGACUCCUACGGGAGGCAGCAGUAGGGAAUCUUCCGCAAUGGACGAAAGUCUGACGGAGCAACGCCGCGUGAGUGAUGAAGGCUUUCGGGUCGUAAAACUCUGUUGUUAGGGAAGAACAAGUGCUAGUUGAAUAAGCUGGCACCUUGACGGUACCUAACCAGAAAGCCACGGCUAACUACGUGCCAGCAGCCGCGGUAAUACCGUAGGUGGCAAGCGUUAUCCGGAAUUAUUGGGCCGUAAAGCGCGCCCAGGUGGUUUCUUAAGUCUGAUGUGAAAGCCCACGGCUCAACCGUGGAGGGUCAUUGGAACUGGGAGACUUGAGUGCAGAAGAGAAAGUGGAAUUCCAUGUGUAGCGGUGAAAUGCGUAGAGAUAUGGAGGAACACCAGUGGCGAAGGCGACUUUCAUGGUCUGUAAC
rnacentral:rRNA from 1 species